rnacentral:rRNA from 1 species
UCCUGACUGACCGAUAGUGAACCAGUACCGUGAGGGAAAGGCGAAAAGAACCCCGGCGAGGGGAGUGAAAAAGAACCUGAAACCGUGUACGUACAAGCAGUGGGAGCACGCUUAGGCGUGUGACUGCGUACCUUUUGUAUAAUGGGUCAGCGACUUAUAUUCUGUAGCAAGGUUAACCGAAUAGGGGAGCCGAAGGGAAACCGAGUCUUAACUGGGCGUUAAGUUGCAGGGUAUAGACCCGAAACCCGGUGAUCUAGCCAUGGGCAGGUUGAAGGUUGGGUAACACUAACUGGAGGACCGAACCGACUAAUGUUGAAAAAUUAGCGGAUGACUUGUGGCUGGGGGUGAAAGGCCAAUCAAACCGGGAGAUAGCUGGUUCUCCCCGAAAGCUAUUUAGGUAGCGCCUCGUGAAUUCAUCUCCGGGGGUAGAGCACUGUUUCGGCAAGGGGGUCAUCCCGACUUACCAACCCGAUGCAAACUGCGAAUACCGGAGAAUGUUAUCACGGGAGACACACGGCGGGUGCUAACGUCCGUCGUGAAGAGGGAAACAACCCAGACCGCCAGCUAAGGUCCCAAAGUCAUGGUUAAGUGGGAAACGAUGUGGGAAGGCCCAGACAGCCAGGAUGUUGGCUUAGAAGCAGCCAUCAUUUAAAGAAAGCGUAAUAGCUCACUGGUCGAGUCGGCCUGCGCGGAAGAUGUAACGGGGCUAAACCAUGCACCGAAGCUGCGGCAGCGACGCUUAUGCGUUGUUGGGUAGGGGAGCGUUCUGUAAGCCUGCGAAGGUGUGCUGUGAGGCAUGCUGGAGGUAUCAGAAGUGCGAAUGCUGACAUAAGUAACGAUAAAGCGGGUGAAAAGCCCGCUCGCCGGAAGACCAAGGGUUCCUGUCCAACGUUAAUCGGGGCAGGGUGAGUCGACCCCUAAGGCGAGGCCGAAAGGCGUAGUCGAUGGGAAACAGGUUAAUAUUCCUGUACUUGGUGUUACUGCGAAGGGGGGACGGAGAAGGCUAUGUUGGCCGGGCGACGGUUGUCCCGGUUUAAGCGUGUAGGCUGGUUUUCCAGGCAAAUCCGGAAAAUCAAGGCUGAGGCGUGAUGACGAGGCACUACGGUGCUGAAGCAACAAAUGCCCUGCUUCCAGGAAAAGCCUCUAAGCAUCAGGUAACAUCAAAUCGUACCCCAAACCGACACAGGUGGUCAGGUAGAGAAUACCAAGGCGCUUGAGAGAACUCGGGUGAAGGAACUAGGCAAAAUGGUGCCGUAACUUCGGGAGAAGGCACGCUGAUAUGUAGGUGAAGUCCCUUGCGGAUGGAGCUGAAAUCAGUCGAAGAUACCAGCUGGCUGCAACUGUUUAUUAAAAACACAGCACUGUGCAAACACGAAAGUGGACGUAUACGGUGUGACGCCUGCCCGGUGCCGGAAGGUUAAUUGAUGGGGUCAGCGCAAGCGAAGCUCUUGAUCGAAGCCCCGGUAAACGGCGGCCGUAACUAUAACGGUCCUAAGGUAGCGAAAUUCCUUGUCGGGUAAGUUCCGACCUGCACGAAUGGCGUAAUGAUGGCCAGGCUGUCUCCACCCGAGACUCAGUGAAAUUGAACUCGCUGUGAAGAUGCAGUGUACCCGCGGCAAGACGGAAAGACCCCGUGAACCUUUACUAUAGCUUGACACUGAACAUUGAGCCUUGAUGUGUAGGAUAGGUGGGAGGCUUUGAAGUGUGGACGCCAGUCUGCAUGGAGCCGGCCUUGAAAUACCACCCUUUAAUGUUUGAUGUUCUAACGUGGACCCGUGAUCCGGGUUGCGGACAGUGUCUGGUGGGUAGUUUGACUGGGGCGGUCUCCUCCUAAAGAGUAACGGAGGAGCACGAAGGUUGGCUAAUCCUGGUCGGACAUCAGGAGGUUAGUGCAAUGGCAUAAGCCAGCUUGACUGCGAGCGUGACGGCGCGAGCAGGUGCGAAAGCAGGUCAUAGUGAUCCGGUGGUUCUGAAUGGAAGGGCCAUCGCUCAACGGAUAAAAGGUACUCCGGGGAUAACAGGCUGAUACCGCCCAAGAGUUCAUAUCGACGGCGGUGUUUGGCACCUCGAUGUCGGCUCAUCACAUCCUGGGGCUGAAGUAGGUCCCAAGGGUAUGGCUGUUCGCCAUUUAAAGUGGUACGCGAGCUGGGUUUAGAACGUCGUGAGACAGUUCGGUCCCUAUCUGCCGUGGGCGCUGGAGAACUGAGGGGGGCUGCUCCUAGUA